rnacentral:rRNA from 1 species
UUUGGUCGUAGACCCGAAACCAGGUGAUCUACCCUUGGUCAGGUUGAAGUUCAGGUAACACUGAAUGGAGGACCGAACCGACUUACGUUGAAAAGUGAGCGGAUGAACUGAGGGUAGCGGAGAAAUUCCAAUCGAACCUGGAGAUAGCUGGUUCUCUCCGAAAUAGCUUUAGGGCUAGCCUCAAGUGAUGAUUAUUGGAGGUAGAGCACUGUUUGGACGAGGGGCCCCUCUCGGGUUACCGAAUUCAGACAAACUCCGAAUGCCAAUUAAUUUAACUUGGGAGUCAGAACAUGGGUGAUAAGGUCCGUGUUCGAAAGGGAAACAGCCCAGACCACCAGCUAAGGUCCCAAAAUAUAUGUUAAGUGGAAAAGGAUGUGGCGUUGCCCAGACAACUAGGAUGUUGGCUUAGAAGCAGCCAUCAUUUAAAGAGUGCGUAAUAGCUCACUAGUCGAGUGACACUGCGCCGAAAAUGUACCGGGGCUAAACAUAUUACCGAAGCUGUGGAUUGUCCUU